GUUUGGUUUGCUUGCAAACCAAAGCUGGCGACCGGCGCACGGGUGAGUAACACGUAUCCAACCUGCCUCAUACUCGGGGAUAGCCUUUCGAAAGAAAGAUUAAUAUCCGAUAGCAUAUAUUUCCCGCAUGGGUUUUAUAUUAAAGAAAUUCGGUAUGAGAUGGGGAUGCGUUCCAUUAGUUUGUUGGCGGGGUAACGGCCCACCAAGACUACGAUGGAUAGGGGUUCUGAGAGGAAGGUCCCCCACAUUGGAACUGAGACACGGUCCAAACUCCUACGGGAGGCAGCAGUGAGGAAUAUUGGUCAAUGGACGCGAGUCUGAACCAGCCAAGUAGCGUGAAGGAUGACUGCCCUAUGGGUUGUAAACUUCUUUUAUAUGGGAAUAAAGUGGUCCACGUGUGGAUUUUUGUAUGUACCAUAUGAAUAAGGAUCGGCUAACUCCGUGCCAGCAGCCGCGGUAAUACGGAGGAUCCGAGCGUUAUCCGGAUUUAUUGGGUUUAAAGGGAGCGUAGGCGGAUUGUUAAGUCAGUUGUGAAAGUUUGCGGCUCAACCGUAAAAUUGCAGUUGAUACUGGCAGUCUUGAGUGCAGUAGAGGUGGGCGGAAUUCGUGGUGUAGCGGUGAAAUGCUUAGAUAUCACGAAGAACUCCGAUUGCGAAGGCAGCUCACUGGAGUGUAACUG
rnacentral:rRNA from 1 species